AUUGAACGCUGGCGGCAUGCUUUACACAUGCAAGUCGAACGGCAGCACGGGCUUCGGCCUGGUGGCGAGUGGCGAACGGGUGAGUAAUGCAUCGGAACGUACCGUGUAGUGGGGGAUAACGUAGCGAAAGUUACGCUAAUACCGCAUACGCCCCGAGGGGGAAAGUGGGGGACCGCAAGGCCUCACGCUAUAUGAGCGGCCGAUGUCGGAUUAGCUAGUUGGUAGGGUAAAGGCCUACCAAGGCGACGAUCCGUAGCGGGUCUGAGAGGAUGGUCCGCCACACUGGGACUGAGACACGGCCCAGACUCCUACGGGAGGCAGCAGUGGGGAAUUUUGGACAAUGGGCGCAAGCCUGAUCCAGCCAUGCCGCGUGAGUGAAGAAGGCCUUCGGGUUGUAAAGCUCUUUCAGACGGAAAGAAAUCUCCCAGGAUAAUACCUUGGGAGGAUGACGGUACCGUAAGAAGAAGCACCGGCUAACUACGUGCCAGCCGCCGCGGUAAAAC
rnacentral:rRNA from 1 species